rnacentral:lncRNA from 1 species
UUCACCCCACCCACAUUUUUUAAUGGAGCUGAAGUGAACACACUCUUUUAGGUUACUGCUGUUUAGGCAAGACUCUGUCUAGCUCCAAGAAUAACAUUAGCUGCUGCAGCACAGAUUAAGGGUUGGCAUGAAGGUCCAAGUGUGAGUUUGUCAUCGUUGGUUGGUGCCUGUUGUUCUGAAGACGAGAGAAGCACGAGCUUGUGUGACAUCAGCUUCCGCCUGAAGCAAAUACAAAGCACAGGACUUCUGAGCAUGGCAAGAGACCGUGAAGCAGCAGCACAGAGCACCAGAGCGUUGGUUUGA